rnacentral:rRNA from 1 species
GACGAACGCUGGCGGCGUGCUUAACACAUGCAAGUCGAACGAUGAAGCCGGAGCUUGCUCUGGUGAAUUAGUGGCGAACGGGUGAGUAACACGUGAGUAACCUGCCCUUGACUCUGGAAUAACUGCGGGAAACUGUAGCUAAUACCGGAUACGACCCUCGGAGGCAUCUCCUGGGGGUGGAAAGAAUUUCGGUCAAGGAUGGACUCGCGGCCUAUCAGCUAGUUGGUGAGGUAAGGGCUCACCAAGGCGACGACGGGUAGCCGGCCUGAGAGGGUGACCGGCCACACUGGGACUGAGACACGGCCCAGACUCCUACGGGAGGCAGCAGUGGGGAAUAUUGCACAAUGGGCGCAAGCCUGAUGCAGCAACGCCGCGUGAGGGAUGACGGCCUUCGGGUUGUAAACCUCUUUUAGCAGGGAAGAGGCGAAAGUGACGGUACCUGCAGAAAAAGCACCGGCUAACUACGUGCCAGCCGCCGCCGUAA